GGCUUUGUAGCUUAGUGGUAAAGCAGGCACCUCCAGUUAGCCCAACCUGGGUUCAAGUCCUGGUGGAGACA
rfam:Puccinia triticina 1-1 BBBD Race 1 supercont2.137, whole genome shotgun sequence.